CUUUGUACACACCGCCCGUCGCUACUACCGAUUGAAUGGCUCAGUGAGGCCUUCGGACUGGCCCAGGGAGGUCGGCAACGACCACCCAGGGCCGGAAAGUUGGUCAAACUCGGUCAUUUAGAGGAAGUAAAAGUCGUAACAAGGUCUCCGUAGGUGAACCUGCGGAGGGAUCAUUA
rnacentral:rRNA from 2 species